UACGAAGGGGGCUAGCGUUGCUCGGAAUCACUGGGCGUAAAGCGCACGUAGGCGGAUUGCUAAGUCGGGGGUGAAAUCCUGGAGCUCAACUCCAGAACUGCCCUCGAUACUGGCGAUCUCGAGUCCGGGAGAGGUGAGUGGAACUCCGAGUGUAGAGGUGAAAUUCGUAGAUAUUCGCAAGAACACCAGUGGCGAAGGCGGCUCACUGGCCCGAUACUGACGCUGAGGCACGAAAGCGUGGGGAGCAAACAGG
rnacentral:rRNA from 1 species